GGAAAAUAGCCUAGAGGUAAUUUAAGGAACUGCAACGUUGGUACGUGGUUUGUCACAUUCAGGAACAGAAUGCGGGAGAUUGAUUUUAAGAGCACAAACAUAAUUAAUAUCUGGUUAAAAAUGACAAAUGCUAAAGAAUUUUCUGUAUUUGCCAAAAAAUGAACUCACAAUAUAGCUAUGAUAAAGAGGUCGGAUUUUUUUUUUUUUUUUUUUAUCAGUUUGUUUGUAUUGCUGUAGUGUUACUCUGUACAACAGACUGACAUCAUUUGGUUACAUCUCUUGGAUAUGCCAAGAUGCUUAAGUAAAAACAAAUUGUUGUUCAUUUUUGUACAAAGACCACAAAAAUAUUUUGACACUGACAAAAAAUAAAUCAAAUUUGACAAUAAUUAACCAGCAAAAAUCAAAGGAUGCCUUUAAAUUUUUGUUCAAAAAAAUGGAAGUGUCAUGGUUUGAGUUUGUUUUGUCUUGGUUUUUGCUUUUGUUCUUGUUCUGUCUUGUUUAGUUCUGUUUCCUGUUUUAUUUUAAAAGGGUUCCUGUCUUGUCAUGUUCCUGUGUUUUACUUCCUGGUCCCUAUCUGUCCUGAUCAUGUUCACCUGUGUCUUGUCUGCCCUGCCUGUAUUUAAGUCUCGUCUCUCCCUUCCUCUUGUGCUGGUCCAUUAACGUCUUCAUGUGUCCUCGUCCCUUCAUGCCAUGUUCCAUGUUCCUCGCCACGCCACAGUAAGCUUUAUUUUGUUUUUUCAUCCUGCUCUGCAGCGCCUUUUGUUUGUUGGUCAUUAAACCCUCUAGUACUGGAACCGUUUUGCCUCCCGUCUCUGUGUCUGGGUCCUACCGGCUCUCGAGCCUCCACGCACAUGACAGGAAGCCUACAAAAGGGGUUCAUACAAAUACACACCUUGUUUGUCAGAAGAUACAAAACACCCUGUUGUAACAGUAAAACUUGUCUAACACAAGAGGCCUCUGGUUUGAUCAGCUGUUCAGGACAAGUUGAAGAAAAUGAAGGAGGGCCAAGUUGGACAUGGUUGAUGUCUUCUGUCACUUUUGUUGCACAGCCUUUUGUGUUUGUAUGUUAGAUACAGAAGUUUGGCCUUUAACGAGUGGCUGUGUUACCCAAUUCAGUCCUUGCAGUCCCACUCCAGUGUGCAGCGUUAACUCCAUUCCGUAUGUUGUAGCUCUGAAUCUCUUCUAAUUUGUAAUUUGUUUAUCCUUUUUUGUUCCAUUGAAAUGGAAUACAUAACAAACUGAUUUUAUUAUUUAAAAAUGUGACUAGUGGGAGCAGAUAACCAACAAUCCACCCAUAUAAGGGUACUACAACGCAGGGAUUGUUCUACAACACAUUAAUUCAUGGGGUAAACUGUAACAUUUCUUAUCCGUGUUUCCUAAACCUGUCAGCGCUUAGUAAUGUCAUGUAUUUCUUAUGGCUAGCAGACAGUGAAGGGGCCUCAAAUCAUUGUCAAGACUGACCUUUUUUGAAAAUGGGCCCACAUGCUUCAGUCUGAAUGUGUGGAGUGUAAGCGUUACAGUUAAUAUUUAUGAAUAUAUACAAGCAUGCUUCAUCUUCAAAAAAUUUAUAAAAUAAUCUCUGUAAUCAAAAUGCCACGGUCAUUACCCUUUAUUUUCUCAGGAAGAAGGAGGGGAAGGCCAGGAAGGGGGAUAGCAAGUUUACAAAAU
ensembl:lncRNA